rnacentral:RNase_P_RNA from 1 species
UCACGUCGUCGGGCGGCCGCGUCGGGAGCAAUCCCGCCGAGGAAAGUCCGGGCUCCACGGAACGCGGUGCCGGGUAACACCCGGCGGCAUUGGCUUUGGCCAGUGUCAGGGACAGUGCCACAGAGAAGAGACCGCCGAUGGUCCCGGAUCAUAUCCGGGAGACAGGCAAGGGUGAAACGGUGCGGCAAGAGCGCACCGCGCGAUGGGCAACCAAAGCGGCACGGCAAACCCCACCGGGAGCAAGACCGAAUAGGGAUGGCGCGCAGGGCUUUGGCGCUGCAGGGCAGGAACCGGCCCAGCCAUCCGGGUUGGUUGCUGGAGGCGGCGGGCAACCGCCGUCCGAGAGGAAUGGUCGCCCAGGGGGCAUGAGCCCCUGGACAGAACCCGGCUUACAGACGGCGUGAUCGC